UCCAUGGCACAUUGGCAAUUACAAAUUGAUACAUAUCAAUUCUUCAAGGUGAAGAAAACCAUUUGGGAGUUGCUGUACGUACACUAUACAAGGACCCUCUUGAUCAUUUAAAAGCUCUUCACUAAAUAAACCAUACGGCCAGCCCUCUUUAAGUUAAUUAUCUUGCUAAUUUUCAUCUUGGUUUGGAGGUUCUGUUUAUUAAAGUUUCGGGAAGGCUUCUCUACAGUUCAUCCUAUUCUCCUUCUUCAAAGAACUAAGGAUUGACAUAAGUGUUACGACGAGUUCGUUGUUGGAUUGUAUUGAUGACUUGAGGUACAGUUAGAUAGACUGAUCGACCUCCCAGCAGACAAGAUCUGAUAUCAGCUGUUCGGUAAGCUCCCUUGUUCGGAGUUGCCAGGUCUUUUGGAGUUCUUCUUUUGUGCUUACAGACUUGAUGGGUAGGCCCCUUAUCCCGACCAUGAUACAAUUAUAUUUUCUUUAGAGGCUUGUAGAUGAGUCUUGUAUAUAGUGUGUCAGUGUGAUAGCCUUUCCAGCUUUGUGUAAAUCUAUUUUGAUAUUGUUGGUCUUGUACGACCAUGGCAGCCUUGUCGGCUUGCUUUGUUAUAUAUAUAUAUAUAUAUAUAUGUGUGUGUGUUUGGGUGUGUGGGUUCAUAUGAGAUAGCCAAUUUACAUAUAUUCUCAGAGUGUGGCCUUGGCAGCUCGUUAGUAGUGUCUGUGUGCAGGUAGGCCCUGUCGGCCUAAGUUGAGGGUUACCCCUCCAGAGUUAUAGACUCAGAGUGGUUUGCUCGGGCCGAGUGCGGCACCGGGUGCUGACCACGCCUCUCCAGAUUUGGGGCGUGACACUUUUAAUGACUAUUUUGCUUCUAGUGACGGAUGCAUAGAAUUAUUAGGUACAAAGAUGUGAUAUGUUAGUUCUGGCCUAAUACUACUUAUAAGCUAUAUUAUUGGUGCAUGUUCCAUACUAACGUUUCGAUUGCUUUGUAUCCAACACAUAUACAUAUUAUUCUAUGUGUGUGGUUCGCAUAUAAUAUGUACAUAUAUUCAUAUAUAUUACAAAAGUAAAAAGAAUCAAAAUACGUAUAAAAGAAUAAGUGUGAUUAAACUUUAUCUUUGCAAGUUUAGAUGAUUCCCAAUCAUUUUGACUAGGAUAAACAAGCCACAUGCAAAUCGUGUACUAAAUAACUUAGGAUACAACUCACGUGUCGAGAAACUAGUAUUAAUAAAUGAAGUUAGAAGUAAUUAAUGGUGACUUUUCACCAAAUGUGGAAAUGAGAAUAUAUUUUGUUAUAUGACAAAUUCUUGUGAUGAAAAAGACAAGAAAACUUGAAAUGGGUGAAGAAAGUAGCCUAAAGAAGAACAAGAUUGCUAAAGAGUAGUUAAUGGCCGAAAAUUAAUUUUACGUAAACAAGUUCCGACAUUUUCCGAUGAAAACUCUACACUCUUUUCUAGCGAAACACACCCAAAUUCAACACAAUCUGCCAUGACAUUAAGAUGCAUUCAAUAGGCACAUUUUGUUCAAAAAAAAAAAAAAAAAAAAAAAGAGCCUAAUUUUAAUGCGUAAAUGAAUAGCUCAAACAAAUUCAGGUAUCUGGUUAUGUAAUUAGCCACUCUUUUAAACUAUCUUUAUCAGACAACUUACUUAGAAUCUCUACUUUCGUAAAAUAAGCAUUUAAACAGCCCAUUCACGCAAAGUUUAUUUUAAUACCUACAGAAAACUGUUUUUCGUAAAGAAAUAUAAUUUAUUUUAGUUCAAGCUUUAGCUUGUAUCUGCUGA